CGUGCAGGCGGCCACCGCAAGUUGAAUGUGAAAUCCCCGGGCUUAACCCGGGAAGUGCGUUCAAGACUGCGGGGCUUGAAUACGGGAGAGGAUCGUGGAAUUCCUGGUGUAGAGGUGAAAUUCGUAGAUAUCAGGAGGAACACUCGUGGCGAAGGCGGUCAACUGGACGAUAACUGACGCUGAGGCGCGAAAGCGUGGGGAGCAAACA
rnacentral:rRNA from 1 species